CUCUCAACGUGCAAGCGAGCAAUCUAGUGUCAUUAAAAGUCUUAAAGCUAAAGUUAGUAGUGUUAAUUGUGAAGAAGUUAUUAAAAAGCGGGUAGAGUGACCUAGCUUGGUCCAGCGCAUCUGAAACACUACAAAAUAAGUUGAAGUUAGAAGCAAGAAAAAGGUAACGAUAUGCACAUUUAUAGAUUAUUUAGUCUAAAAUGAUCUAGAACUAAUUCCUAAAUACUAAUUAAAAAUGCGGUUUUGGAGAAAAUGCGGUAAUGCGUGAAGUGUGACUAAUUAGUGUGGUAGGUCCACAAAGGGGCCUUUUUCUUUGUAAUUAGCAGCUUUCUUCGGAGGAGGAACGCCAUCUUUAUUCCCUCAGAACAAAGGCAAGUCUUGGGUCCUUGGAUGCCUGACCAGAGAAGCCAUCUUGGGAUUCGGUGAAUGGUAUUGAAGUCGCGGAGCAAAACCGCCGUCGAAUAGGAAGCCGAUUUCAACCAAAGCUUCAUCCGAAGUUCCGAAGUUCCAGGUCCUCAAUCGCCAACCACGAGUGACGUAGGAAUACCCGAUCCCCUGCUGGUCCGGUGCCCUAUCAAUGGGAAUACCAACCAAGGACGCCCCGGUACGCCAUUAGCCGUUGCAGAAUCCACCCCGACCACCUCAAGGUGCCGUUAGUCCGCGGAAAGUCCACAACGCAAGAGUAAAAACCGCAAGUAGAACUAUGUGGCGUCACGUUAUAGCUAGAUCAUAAGAAAUGGCCAUUUUACACGAAUCUUUAUG